CCUACGGGAGGCUGCAGUGGGGAAUAUUGCACAAUGGGCGCAAGCCUGAUGCAGCCAUGCCGCGUGUGUGAAGAAGGCCUUCGGGUUGUAAAGCACUUUCAGCGGGGAGGAAGGCGUUAAGGUUAAUAACCUUGGCGAUUGACGUUACCCGCAGAAGAAGCACCGGCUAACUCCGUGCCAGCAGCCGCGGUAAUACGGAGGGUGCAAGCGUUAAUCGGAAUUACUGGGCGUAAAGCGCACGCAGGCGGUCUGUCAAGUCGGUUGUGAAAUCCCCGGGCUCAACCUGGGAACUGCAUUCGAAACUGGCAGGCUAGAGUCUUGUAGAGGGGGGUAGAAUUCCAGGUGUAGCGGUGAAAUGCGUAGAGAUCUGGAGGAAUACCGGUGGCGAAGGCGGCCCCCUGGACAAAGACUGACGCUCAGGUGCGAAAGCGUGGGGAGCAAACAGGAUUAGAUACCCUAGUAGUC
rnacentral:rRNA from 1 species